UAUGUGAUCGUCUCUCGCAUAUCAAUAAGCGGAGGAAAAGAAACUAACAAGGAUUCCCCUAGUAACGGCGAGUGAAGCGGGAAGAGCUCAAAUUUGAAAUCUUAAAGGGUUUCCCUUUACGAAUUGUAGUUUAAAGAAGUGUUUUCUGUUGAGGUUUUGGUAAAAGUUCUUUGGAAUAGGACAUCAUAGAGGGUGAGAAUCCCGUAUUUGACCUUUACUUUCAACUUUGUGAUACACUUUCAAAGAGUCGGAUUGUUUGGGAAUGCAGUCCAAAAUGGGUGGUAAAUUCAUCUAAAGCUAAAUAUUGGCGAGAGACCGAUAGCGAACAAGUACCGUGAGGGAAAGAUGAAAAGAACUUUGAAAAGAGAGUUAAACAGUACGUGAAAUUGUCAAAAGGGAAGCGUUUGACACCAGUGUUGUUUUUCUGAAAAUCAAUUAAAGAACUGUUUAUGCUAAGUUGUUUAGACUUUAUCAGCUAAUCUGCUUAGUUUUGAGCUUUUCUUUAAUGCACUUUUCAGUUAACAAGUCAACAUCAAUUUCUUUUGCUGUAAAAAAGCUUGAGGAAGGUGGCUUGAGAUUCGUCUUAAGUGUUUAUAGCCUCUUGCCUAUGCAGUCGGAGAGAUUGAGGUCUGCAGCGUAGAUCCUUCGGGGCUAAAUGCAUUUGUGCUAAGUUAUAGCAUUUUAUAGACAACUUGUUGACUAUGAUUUGUCUUGUAGCUUACUCGCUUAUGUUAUUUUACCUACGCUUAGGAUGUUGAACGCGCACAGAGUCUC
rnacentral:rRNA from 1 species